rnacentral:rRNA from 1 species
GACGAACGCUGGCGGCGUGCUUAACACAUGCAAGUCGAACGAAGUGGCGAACGGGUGAGUAACGCGUAAUCAACCUGCCCUUCAGAGGGGGUCAACAGUUGGAAACGACUGCUAAUACUGCAUACAGAAGGAGGGGGUUGCGUCUGAUUAGCUAGUUGGAGGGGUAAAGGCCCACCAAGGCGAAGAUCAGUAGACGGUCUGAGAGGAUGAACGGCCACAUUGGAACUGGUACACGGCCCAGACUCCUACGGGAAGCAGCAGUGGGGGAUCUUACGCGAUGGACGAAAGUCUGACGGAGCAAAGCCGCGUGAGUGAUGACGGCCUUCGGGUUGUAAAGCUCUGUUAAUCGGGACGCGGUACCGGCAUAGAAAGCCACGGCUAACUACGUGCCAGCAGCCGCGGUAAUUC